CUACGGGAUGCUCCAGUGGGGAAUAUUGCGCAAUGGGGGAAACCCUGACGCAGCGACGCCGUGUGAGUGAUGAAGGCUUUCGGGUCGUAAAGCUCUGUCGGAUGGGACGAAUAAGGGCUGUGAGAAUAUUGCAGUCCGAUGACGGUACCGUCGAAGGAAGCACCGGCUAACUCCGUGCCAGCAGCCGCGGUAAUACGGAGGGUGCAAGCGUUAUUCGGAAUUAUUGGGCGUAAAGGACGGGUAGGCGGGCUUGUAUGUCAGAUGUGAAAGCCCCAGGCUUAACCUGGGAAGUGCAUUUGAAACUGCAGGUCUUGAGUACGAGAGAGGAGAGUGGAAUUCCCAGUGUAGAGGUGAAAUUCAUAGAUAUUGGGAAGAACACCGGCGGCGAAAGCGGCUCUCUGGCUCGAUACUGACGCUGAGACGUGAAAGCGUGGGGAGCAAACAGGAUUAGAUACCCCUGUAGGU
rnacentral:rRNA from 1 species